rnacentral:misc_RNA from 1 species
CAACCCUUAAGCCCCUGUUGCUUAGCGUUGGGAGACUACCCCGCCAUCUGGUGGCGGUAGCUCCCCAAAGCGAGUGGCGGAGCCGGUCCCGUGCUCUAGGCGUAGUAGAUUUUCAUCUCGCCUCUGUAGUCGGAUCUGGUUUCCUGCCAUAAAACGGAAGAUUUUCUUCACUUUUUUA